ACUCAGAAAACGAGCUGCACCAACCGGACACUUCAUCCCGGAAAUACGGAAGCCAGUGCGGAAGAGCUGCGGUCCGUCUCCCGGUCGCCAUCGAACAUAUAGUGAACAACAGCCUAAUGGUGACGCUAGCUUACUGAGAUAAGAGCUACACGGGAUUUUGCUCCAUUGCAACAAACAGUGUAUGGCCGAGUACACACCGCUUCUCUAAACGCACUUCUUGGUUUCUUUGAACGCCAGAUUGACUGCUCUGCAUUGCUCUCUUGUUUACCCAGGAGUCAGGACUAACAAGUAUAAAAGAUGUUUACAGAAGACAGAGUACCAAAGAAAAACCUACAGAGGUGUGUCCACUACAGUUAUCAUAAACAGGUAAGUGUAAAGUUAUCAUACAGAGGUAAAGUUAUCAGCACUGAACCCCUCUGCAGUACAGAGAGAAUUGAUUUAUUUUUUGCUUUCAGUGUAGUAGGGCAGUGGAUUUCAAAGUGGGGGCCGCGACAGUUUGGUGUGAAAAAUAAAUUCUCACUCUGACAACCACACACACACACAAUCAAUUCCUAAUGUAAUGUGAAGAUGAAAGAGGUCAUUAUUAAUAAUAGGGGGGGUUAUUUUCACAAGUCUGUAUUUUUAAUGUGUUUUAAAGACAUCCUGCAAAAGGGGGGCCUCGGUCAAAUUUUAAUGCCAUUUGAGGGGCCUUGCCAUGGAAAAGUUUGCGAACCACUGUAGUAGAGUAGACCUCGGUUGGGCCCAGCCCAAAGGGAAAAUGCACUGAAGUGCCGUGGAUGCGUCGUUCAUACAUGCAGCAAUUUUACAUCCAAUAAGUCGCCCGUCCCUGUACUAUGAAGUCGCAUCUACAAUCAAACGAAGCUAACCAUUAGCGUUCUCAUUCCACGUCAGAUUCUGCUCAAAUUAAAGUCCAGAUAUAAUUGGACAAUGUGCUCGAGUAUUGUUAAACCCCACCUACAAGCACAGAGUCCAAAGACUGCAGUGCUGUUUACGUCCACUAGAUGUCCUCGGUGUAUAAGUUAAGUAAGGUUAAACAUUACUGUUGGUUUGAAUUAGUUCAGUCUACAAAAGAAGCUUGUAAAAUGGCAUGUUGAUAUACUGUAACAAUAGUGUAUCAGUAGCAUAUUACACAUUUGUAUUUUGUAUUGAUGUAAAACAUAAAAUAAAAAAUAUAAGUAUAGUUUAGAUUAAUGCAAGGAUGCUAUUUCGCAGGCAGGCUUUUGAAUGGGCUUCAUCUGAACUUUUACAUGGAACCAAUGUGAUUCACGUUGACUGUUCAUCUACUCGAUCUAUUCAAUCCUAUAGCCUGCGAAUUCUGGAUAAUGGGACGGGUACAGUAGUACUAGAUUUUGUAUUAGAUGUAGUACAUCAGUAGAGUAUAUGUAUAGUAUAUGUAUGUAUGUGUAUAUAUAUAAUGUAUGUGUGAUGUAUGUAUAUGCAUCAGCAGGUCAGCUAGACUGAACCACACAAGUGUGUUCUGCUUAUCCAUCCAUCUUCUAUACCGCUUAUCCUUCAGGGUCGUGGGGAACCUGGAGUCUAUUCCAGGUAGCAUGGGGCACAAGGUACACCCUGGUCGGGGUGCCAAUCACAUACAAAUUCACACACCCAUUCAUACACUACGGACACUUUGGACAUGCCAAUCAGCCAACCAUGCAUGUCUUUGGACUGGGAGAGGAAGCCGGAGGAAACCCCUGCAGGGGAGAUCAUGCAAAAAAAAAAAAAAAAACACACACACAGGGCAGCAGUUGGAAUCGAAACCCCCAACCUGGGCGGUGUAAGGCAAUCGUAUUAACCACUAAGCCGCCAUGCACUUUCUACUUUUCUAAUUGUGUCUAAACACCC